AGGCCUCAGGAAGAAGAAAUGGAGAAGCCGUGGUUCUCUGAAGAGAUGGCUUUGUGCGGAGCAUGCCUGGAAUGAGAGGAGCAGAGGACCAGCUCCCACCCUCUCCCCAGCAGGGUCUGGGCUGCUGUAACAAAUUACUACAGAUUGGGUAACUUAAAACAACAGAAAUGUAUUCUCUCACAGUUCUGGAGGCCAGAAGUCUGAAAUCAAGGUGUCAGCAAGAGUGUUGUCAAGUCUGGAGAGAAGACCUGGAAAUACUGAAGCCAUCUUGCCAUCAGCCUGCGAAUGGAGCCGACACCAAGAAUGGCAGAACAGAAAAACGUGUAAAAUGUCAAGUGUUCCUGGAUCCUCUGGAGGCAUCGACAGCUCACCCUAAAGGUAUUCCGAGCAUACUGCAGAGCAUCCAAACCGAGUGGGGAGAAUUUACGUUCUGAAAGCGUUAGAAGGCUGGUACCGUAAGGCGCUACCACAGACCCAGUCUUAAGAGUAGGACCAAAGGAAUGGAGACAUACAGAAGCAGAUUUUGAGUUGCCAUGAGGUGGAAGUUGAGCUGUGAAACAAUGGGAGGAUCUGCCUUGUGUGACCCAGGUGUCACCCGGGGCCUCUGCUUGUGGAAAUCUAAGUGAGAUGGAUUUACCCUCAUCCUUCUGUUUUCAUCAGCACAUCAGUGCAGAUGUAAAAUUCACCCCAACUUUGAUUUUCACAGAAAAGUCACAGUGGGAGAAAGCAGAGCAGAGGAGACAAGGAGCUGUGAACAUCAUGGGAAGAAAAACCAAGAAGAGUUCCAUGGCGCACUAGGUAGAAAGACCUCCCCCAGCCUAUGUCAGAGAUGGCUGCAGUGGUCCCAGCUUCUCUCCAUCUUGCUAAAUGCCCUUUCUCCUCAUCUUUCUCUGGAAAUCUCUCCUUUUGGGAAGAGCACAAAUUAUUCUUCUUGUCUCAUACGGAGCACUUGAUCAUUGGUAUACAUUAUGCUCUUGGGUUCUCACCAUACCCUAGUGCCCCCGAGUAGUCUAUA